UACGUAGGUGGCAAGCGUUGUCCGGAAUUAUUGGGCGUAAAGCGCGCGCAGGCGGCCUUUUAAGUCUGAUGUGAAAGCCCACGGCUCAACCGUGGAAGGUCAUUGGAAACUGAAAGGCUUGAGUACAGAAGAGGAAAGCGGAAUUCCACGUGUAGCGGUGAAAUGCGUAGAGAUGUGGAGGAACACCAGUGGCGAAGGCGGCUUUCUGGUCUGUAACUGACGCUGAGGCGCGAAAGCGUGGGUAGCAAACAGG
rnacentral:rRNA from 1 species